AAAGCAAAACGUGGAGACAGACACCCUGCUAUUCGAAAAGUAUAACUACACAUGCAGUAGCUCUCAGCAAAGGAUGUGAUUUUUUUGCUUUGCUCUUGGAAUGUGGAACUGAAUGGCACCAUCAGGGGCAAGGAGAAGUUAAUCCAGACAAGUUAUGUUCUGAUCUAGCCAGGUUCAGUGGAAAGAGAAGUAUCAUAAUCAACACUGGAUUGGGAAUUGAAGUAAAAGUGUGAACAAUAUAUUUGUGGCAUCUGCGAUGGUCAUAAGAAGUGCAUGCAGAAAAACAGCCCAUUAGCAAUUAUUAACUGCAAGACAAAAUGAAGAGAAGGCUCACAGAAUCAAGAGGGACCAUGAAGUCUAAUGAGCGGGGGAACCAGAUUGUCCAGUUCUUCCCUCUGUCUUGGCUCAGUGGCUGGGGAGAUCCUAACCUGCUUGUUACCCUCAAAAAAGAUGUGCUCCCUGAGCUGUAUCUGG
rnacentral:lncRNA from 1 species